CCUACGGGAGGCAGCAGUGAGGAAUAUUGGUCAAUGGACGAGAGUCUGAACCAGCAAAGCAGCGUGAAGGAUGACUGUCCUAUGGGUUGUAAACUUCUUUUAUAUGGGAAUAAAAUGUUCCACGUGCGUGAUUUUGUAUGUACCAUAUGAAUAAGGAUCGGCUAACUCCGUGCCAGCAGCCGCGGUAAUACGGAGGAUCCGAGCGUUAUCCGGAUUUAUUGGGUGUAAAGGGAGCGUAGGUGGAUUGUUAAGUCAGUUGUGAAAGUUUGCGGCUCAACCGUAAAAUUGCAGUUGAAACUGGCAGUCUUGAGUACAGUAGAGGUGGACGGAAUUCGUGGUGUAGCGGUGAAAUGCUUAGAUAUCACGAAGAACUCCGAUUGCGAAGGCAGUUCACUGGACUGCAACUGACACUGAGGCUCGAAAGUGUGGGUAUCAAACAGGAUUAGAUACCCGUGUAGUC
rnacentral:rRNA from 1 species